CCUACGGGAGGCAGCAGUGGGGAAUAUUGCGCAAUGGGCGAAAGCCUGACGCAGCGACGCCGCGUGAGGGAUGAAGGUCUUCGGAUCGUAAAACUCUGUCAGCAGGGAAGAACGGUCACUGUGCUAAUCAGCAGUGAAUUGACGGUACCUGCAAAGAAAGCACCGGCUAACUCCGUGCCAGCAGCCGCGGUAAUACGGAGGGUGCGAGCGUUAAUCGGAAUGACUGGGCGUAAAGCGAGCGUAGGCGGUAUGUUAAGUCAAGGGUGAAAGCCCCGGGCUCAACGUGGGAACUGCCUUUGAAACUGGCAAACUGGAGGUGGUGAGAGGAGAGUGGAAUUCCAGGUGUAGGAGUGAAAUCCGUAGAUAUCUGGAGGAACAUCAGUGGCGAAGGCGACUAUCUGGCACAUAACUGACGCUGAGGAGCGAAAGCGUGGGUAGCAAACAGGAUUAGAUACCCUUGUAGUC
rnacentral:rRNA from 1 species